GAUGAACGCUGGCGGCGUGCCUAAUACAUGCAAGUCGAGCGAACAGAUAAGGAGCUUGCUCCUUUGACGUUAGCGGCGGACGGGUGAGUAACACGUGGGUAACCUACCUAUAAGACUGGAAUAACUCCGGGAAACCGGGGCUAAUGCCGGAUAACAUUUAGAACCGCAUGGUUCUAAAGUGAAAGAUGGUUUUGCUAUCACUUAUAGAUGGACCCGCGCCGUAUUAGCUAGUUGGUAAGGUAACGGCUUACCAAGGCAACGAUACAUAGCCGACCUGAGAGGGUGAUCGGCCACACUGGAACUGAGACACGGUCCAGACUCCUACGGGAGGCAGCAGUAGGGAAUCUUCCGCAAUGGGCGAAAGCCUGACGGAGCAACGCCGCGUGAGUGAUGAAGGUCUUCGGAUCGUAAAACUCUGUUAUUAGGGAAGAACAAAUGUGUAAGUAACUGUGCACGCCUUGACGGUACCUAAUCAGAAAGCCACGGCUAACUACGUG
rnacentral:rRNA from 1 species